UAGGGAAUCUUCCACAAUGGACGCAAGUCUGAUGGAGCAACGCCGCGUGAGUGAAGAAGGUUUUCGGAUCGUAAAGCUCUGUUGUUGGUGAAGAAGGAUAGAGGUAGUAACUGGCCUUUAUUUGACGGUAAUCAACCAGAAAGUCACGGCUAACUACGUGCCAGCAGCCGCGGUAAUACGUAGGUGGCAAGCGUUGUCCGGAUUUAUUGGGCGUAAAGCGAGCGCAGGCGGAAGAAUAAGUCUGAUGAGAAAGCCCUCGGCUUAACCGAGGAACUGCAUCGGAAACUGUUUUUCUUGAGUGCAGAAGAGGAGAGUGGAAUUCCAUGUGUAGCGGUGGAAUGCGUAGAUAUAUGGAAGAACACCAGUGGCGAAGGCGACUCUCUGGUCUGCAACUGACGCUGAGGCUCGAAAGCAUGGGUAGCGAACAGG
rnacentral:rRNA from 1 species